GACGAACGCUGGCGGCGUGCCUAAUACAUGCAAGUCGAACGCAGUGGGGACGGGUGAGUAACACGUGGGUAACCUCCCAUCAGAGGGGAUAAACCUUGGAAACUGGUGCUAAACCGAUACUGAUGGAUGGACCCGCGGUGCAUUAGCUAGUUGGUGAGGUAACGGCUCACCAAGGCCACGAUGCAUAGCCGGUCUGAGAGGGUGAUCAGCCACACUGGGACUGAGACACGGCCCAGACUCCUACGGGAGGCAGCAGUAGGGAAUCUUCGGCAAUGGGCGAAAGUCUGACCGAGCAACGCCGCGUGAGUGAAGAAGGUUUUCGGAUCGUAAAGCUCUGUUGUUAGAGAAGCGGUAUCUAACCAGAAAGCCACGGCUAACUACGUGCCAGCAGCCGCGGUAAUUC
rnacentral:rRNA from 1 species